CAGCAGCCGCCGCGGUAAUACAGAGGGUGCGAGCGUUAAUCGGAUUUACUGGGCGUAAAGCGUGCGUAGGCGGCUUCUUAAGUCGGAUGUGAAAUCCCUGAGCUUAACUUAGGAAUUGCAUUCGAUACUGGGAAGCUAGAGUAUGGGAGAGGAUGGUAGAAUUCCAGGUGUAGCGGUGAAAUGCGUAGAGAUCUGGAGGAAUACCGAUGGCGAAGGCAGCCAUCUGGCCUAAUACUGACGCUGAGGUACGAAAGCAUGGGGAGCAAACAGGAUUAGAUACCCCGGUAGUCCCUGUCUCUUAUAC
rnacentral:rRNA from 1 species